rnacentral:rRNA from 1 species
GUGGGGAAUUUUGGACAAUGGGCGCAAGCCUGAUCCAGCAAUGCCGCGUGCAGGAAGAAGGCCUUCGGGUUGUAAACUGCUUUUGUACGGAACGAAACGGUCCUGGUUAAUACCUGGGGCUAAUGACGGUACCGUAAGAAUAAGCACCGUCUAACUACGUGCCAGCAGCCGCGGUAAUACGUAGGGUGCAAGCGUUAAUCGGACUUACUGGGCGUAAAGCGUGCGCAGGCGGUUUUGUAAGACAGGCGUGAAAUCCCCGGGCUCAACCUGGGAAUUGCGCUUGUGACUGCAAGGCUGGAGUGCGGCAGAGGGGGAUGGAAUUCCGCGUGUAGCAGUGAAAUGCGUAGAUAUGCGGAGGAACACCGAUGGCGAAGGCAAUCCCCUGGGCCUGCACUGACGCUCAUGCACGAAAGCGUGGGGAGCAAACAGGAUUAGAAACCCCUGUAGUCC